rnacentral:rRNA from 1 species
GACGAACGCUGGCGGCGUGCCUAACACAUGCAAGUCGAACGAACCCUUCGGGGUUAGUGGCGGACGGGUGAGUAACACGUGGGAACGUACCUUUAGGUUCGGAACAACACAGGGAAACUUGUGCUAAUGCCGAAUGUGCCCUUCGGGGGAAAGAUUUAUCGCCUUUAGAGCGGCCCGCGUCUGAUUAGCUUGUUGGUGAGGUAAAGGCUCACCAAGGCUUCGAUCAGUAGCUGGUCUGAGAGGAUGAUCAGCCACACUGGGACUGAGACACGGCCCAGACUCCUACGGGAGGCAGCAGUGGGGAAUCUUGCGCAAUGGGCGAAAGCCUGACGCAGCCAUGCCGCGUGAAUGAUGAAGGUCUUAGGAUUGUAAAAUUCUUUCACCGGGGAAGAUAAUGACGGUACCCGGAGAAGAAGCCCCGGCUAACUUCGUG